AACAUGUCCUUUCUAACAGGUUGUGUACCGCAGUCAUUUAAAGUACCUGGGAUAAAACCUCUUCUGAAAAAAAAACACCCUCGACCGAGGUCUUACCAAACUAUAGACCUAUAUCUAA